CGGUUCCUCCGCGCCGUCCGCACCCACCUGACGACUGCUCGCUACGUUUUGUUAG
rnacentral:sRNA from 1 species